CCUUGACUGAAUCCCUCUACACAAACAAAACGUUUUAAAGAUGUCAUAGUUUAGCACAUGUGUGCAAUAUCUCAUAGUUUAGCA